UACGUAGGGCGCGAGCGUUGUCCGGAAUUAUUGGGCGUAAAGAGCUCGUAGGCGGUCUGUCGCGUCUGCUGUGAAAACCUAGGGCUUAACUCUGGGCGUGCAGUGGGUACGGGCAGGCUAGAGUGCGGUAGGGGAGACUGGAAUUCCUGGUGUAGCGGUGAAAUGCGCAGAUAUCAGGAGGAACACCGGUGGCGAAGGCGGGUCUCUGGGCCGUAACUGACGCUGAGGAGCGAAAGCAUGGGGGAGCGAACAGG
rnacentral:rRNA from 1 species